CCAGUAUAUAUUCUAGGUACACUUGCUAGACACACAAAUGGUAGUUUUUACCAAAGGUGUUUAUUUAAACUCAGUUAAUAGAAAAGAUCAGAGUGUAUAAUUCCCCAAAGGAUUCUGCAACAAACAGCAACAAUAGUAAAUAAAAGUCAGUUUAGUUUUAAAAUAAACAAAUUGCACCCAUUCAGAACAGGUGAAAAAAAAUGCUUUGACUUUAGUUUUAAAAUAAAAAGUUGCACUCAUUCAGAAUAGGUGGGAAAAAAAUGCUUUAAAGCAGAUUUUGUGAAAUAUUUCAGAGUUUUAGAAGAGUGAAUAUAACCUAAGUAGAGUGAAUAUAACCCAAAAGGUGCCCAUGAGGAUGUAUUGGGAUGAGGAAAUAAAAUCCUGCAACUCCGAUGUUGACUUUUUAAUCUUAAAAAAAAGAAGCCAAGCUUCACUAUACUUAAUAUAUGUAUUGACAGCAUAAUUUAAAUAAAUGGACAUCUAGAGAACACAUCCUCAAAUUAUUUUACUAACCAGACUGCAUAAUUUAAAAUCUUUAGACAUUUUUGUUUCAGAAGACAACAAGCUCAGGAUAAAUCUGCACUAUGAUGUGAUUAUUAAAAACAAGCCAAAAUUAAAUCAUUUUCUUUCUGUUACUUAGCUUUUCCUUUGAAACAAACCACCCCAAGACAAAUUGGUUUACAACAACCACUGUUUACUAUUUAGAACUUGCAAAACAUCUCUUGUACUGUCAACGUCAUGUGAGGAAGGGUUGAAAGAAUUGGGAUGGUGAUGCUAGGAAAAGAGAGCAUUCACAGCAAAGAGGAAUACGUAUUAGACAUUCAACAAUCUUGAUUUCUUACAGUUCAAAGUCUGAUACAAUUUAUAGUGGAAAGAAAAAUAUUUUGAAUGGACAAUCCCUUGAAGCAACAGAAUUUUUUUUCUCUAAUUGAUUUAAUGCUUAUAAAACUAUAUGAUUUCAGAGAGUUUCAUUUGUGUGGAAUGACACAGUCGGCUAACAUCAGAAUUACUGGGAAAUCUCAAAGGAGAUGGAGGCUCAAAGUAAUUUUUUGCUGAGUGGUGCAAAACAGAAAAUGGACAUUUGCUUCUGGCACUGUGACCUUCUCCAGGACCUGUCCACGCUGCCCUCCCGAAUGCAGUGUAUUUCUGGAACACACUUGUGAUAUAACCAGUAACUAGUCUCCGUAAACACUCAACUUGACAGCAAGUGAGAGUUAAAAAAAAAAAAGUGUGUCUUUCGCAUCAAUGAAGAGUGCCACACUACAAAUAUAUUUCCUUUUUUCGUCAGAUAGAUGAUUUUUUAAAAAGAUCAAUUCAGAUGGACUAUAGUUCACUUAUUUUUCUUCUGGCUGUACACACGAAUACACUCAUUUUUGUUUUAAAACCAAUAGAGCUCUUAAGUAUUAUCAACUAUUGCUAAUUUAAAUAAAGAAUGUAUAGCUGAUCUAUACAUUUUCCAAUUAAGACAGCAUAAAACCUCCAUAUGUUUAAGAAUGCUGUACCCUCCACCUGCGUGCAUGCACAUUCAUACACAUUCACACCCGAUCCAACUCCACACUUCUCCACUGAUGACUAAACCAUUUGAGAUGGGUUGGUGGGGGACGGGAAAAGGGGCUGGGGAGGAUUUUUUUUUUUACAAUAGGCAUGCAUAAUAUUUACUGAACAAGACAUUUUACUCUGUAUUUUUUUAGUAUGUGGGGGAGAAUCAUCAUUUUGUUUAGACUUUAUACGGCAUGGGUUACUCAGUUCACAGCAGAGGCACCUGCACCAAAUUACUUUGUUGUAGCACAUUAAUUAUCUCAUAGCUUCUAUUUAGUCUGCAGCUGUUGCUUUUAUGUUAAUAUUUUUUAUCACCACUGUAUACAACAGGUUAUGGCAGGAAUAGAAAUAUCUCUAUUUUUUGUCCCCCCCCCC
rnacentral:lncRNA from 1 species